rnacentral:rRNA from 1 species
GAUAAACGCUGGCGGCGUGCCUAAUACAUGCAAGUCGAGCGAACGGACGAGAAGCUUGCUUCUCUGAUGUUAGCGGCGGACGGGUGAGUAACACGUGGAUAACCUACCUAUAAGACUGGGAUAACUUCGGGAAACCGGAGCUAAUACCGGAUAAUAUUUUGAACCGCAUGGUUCAAAGGUGAAAGACGGUCUUGCUGUCACUUAUAGAUGGAUCCGCGCUGCAUUAGCUAGUUGGUAAGGUAACGGCUUACCAAGGCAACGAUGCAUAGCCGACCUGAGAGGGUGAUCGGCCACACUGGAACUGAGACACGGUCCAGACUCCUACGGGAGGCAGCAGUAGGGAAUCUUCCGCAAUGGGCGAAAGCCUGACGGAGCAACGCCGCGUGAGUGAUGAAGGUCUUCGGAUCGUAAAACUCUGUUAUUAGGGAAGAACAUAUGUGUAAGUAACUGUGCACAUCUUGACGGUACCUAAUCAGAAAGCCACGGCUAACUACGUGCCAGCAGCCGCGGUAAUACGUAGGUGGCAAGCGUUAUCCGGAAUUAUUGGGCGUAAAGCGCGCGUAGGCGGUUUUUUAAGUCUGGUGUGAAAGCCCACGGCUCAACCGUGGAGGGUCAUUGGAAACUGGAAAACUUGAGUGCAGAAGAGGAAAGUGGAAUUCCAUGUGUAGCGGUGAAAUGCGCAGAGAUAUGGAGGAACACCAGUGGCGAAGGCGACUUUCUGGUCUGUAACUGACGCUGAUGUGCGAAAGCGUGGGGAUCAAACAGGAUUAGAUACCCUGGUAGUCCACGCCGUAAACGAUGAGUGCUAAGUGUUAGGGGGUUUCCGCCCCUUAGUGCUGCAGCUAACGCAUUAAGCACUCCGCCUGGGGAGUACGACCGCAAGGUUGAAACUCAAAGGAAUUGACGGGGACCCGCACAAGCGGUGGAGCAUGUGGUUUAAUUCGAAGCAACGCGAAGAACCUUACCAAAUCUUGACAUCCUUUGACAACUCUAGAGAUAGAGCCUUCCCCUUCGGGGGACAAAGUGACAGGUGGUGCAUGGUUGUCGUCAGCUCGUGUCGUGAGAUGCUGGGUUAAGUCCCGCAACGAGCGCAACCCUUAAGCUUAGUUGCCAUCAUUAAGUUGGGCACUCUAAGUUGACUGCCGGUGACAAACCGGAGGAAGGUGGGGAUGACGUCAAAUCAUCAUGCCCCUUAUGAUUUGGGCUACACACGUGCUACAAUGGACAAUACAAAGGGCAGCGAAACCGCGAGGUCAAGCAAAUCCCAUAAAGUUGUUCUCAGUUCGGAUUGUAGUCUGCAACUCGACUACAUGAAGCUGGAAUCGCUAGUAAUCGUAGAUCAGCAUGCUACGGUGAAUACGUUCCCGGGUCU